rnacentral:rRNA from 1 species
UACAGAGGGUGCAAGCGUUAUCCGGAAUGAUUGGGCGUAAAGCGUUUGUAGGUUGCUUGAGAAGUCUACUGUCAAAUCCCAGAGCUCAACUUGGACAGGCAGUGGAGCACUCUUAGGCUAGAGUUCGGUAGGGGAGACUGGAAUUCCUGGUGUAGCGGUGAAAUGCGCAGAUAUCAGGAGGAACACCGGUGGCGAAGGCGGUCUCUGGGCCGAUAUUGACGCUGGAGGAGCGAAAGCGUGGGAGCGAACAGG